rnacentral:rRNA from 1 species
CAUCCGCCCGGGUACUACGAGCAUCAGCUUAAAACCCAAAGGACUUGGCGGUGCUUUAGAUCCACCUAGAGGAGCCUGUUCUAGAACCGAUAAUCCCCGUUAAACCUCACCUUUCCUUGUCUAAUCCGCCUAUAUACCGCCGUCGUCAGCUUACCCUAUGAAGGGUAUAAAGUAAGCACAACCGGUUCAACCUAAAACGCCAGGUCGAGGUGUAGCGCAUGGAAGGGGAAGAAAUGGGCUACAUUCGAUAGCCAUAUUGAAUACGAAUGACAUCCUGAAAAAAUGUCUGAAGGAGGAUUUAGCAGUAAACAGAGAACAGAGUGCUCUAU